rnacentral:tRNA from 1 species
GGAGAGGUGGCUGAGUGGUCGAAAGCGGCUUCCUGCUAAGAAGUUGUCCUGGAUAUUACGGGAUCAUGGGUUCGAAUCCCAUCCUCUCCG